CGAGUGUUCACCAACAUUGUACCAGGGAAAGGGGGAUGGAUUUUCGGAGGAUAUUUUAGGGAUAUAGUGCAAAACUCUUCGUAUUUAAUGUUUUUGUCCGACUGAUUUUGUCCACGAUUGUGGUUUGUUUUUUUCUGUUAGUGCCAACUGUGCUUAUCAAGUUAUCAUAGGAAACUCAUGUUCAUUGUUCAUCUGUGCUAAUUAUUAC